rnacentral:lncRNA from 1 species
GCCAUGUGGCCCGACAUUGGCCCUUACACGACCAUGUCACCCAUUUAUUCCCUAGCCCCUUCUUUUCUUUUAUCAUUUUCCUCCUAAUCUCUCCCACACAAACCCUAGUCGCUGUCGCCACCCCCUCUACCAGCCUGACCACCCCCGUCGAUCGCACUAUAUCGCCAUCGCAAUCUCUCUUUCCCCUCUCCUCCAUUCCCGAGUCAUCACCCAUCCUCACCAAACAAGCCACGCCACUAACCAUGUCCCUUUUCAUCCUACCUCCGACCCCUUUUGCCCUUCAAUACACAAGCCCCCCUCUGAUGCAACUCCCCUUUCUCACCUACCCUACAAUCGUCCCCCUCACCCUUCGAGCCACACACGACCCUCCUUCCCUCUGUAUUUUCCUCUUGUUGGAACCACUACGAGCCUUCUCUUUCCCCCUUACUGAACCACAUAUGAAACAGGCACCCUCCUCUGACCCUCUCUUCUUCUUU